rnacentral:lncRNA from 1 species
AUAGCCUUUGCAUUUGACGAAGAAGAAGCAAAAGUGUUGACGCUUUUUGUUGAGAAACUUCAUCUGCUCUCGUCGUUGAAGUCGCCCUUUGGCUCUGAUCGCUUGGCCGUUCGCUGAGAACCCUCUCUAUCUCUCUCUACUUCACUUGUGAAUACUCUUUUCUAUUUCUUUUUCAUCAUCUCUUUUGUGUUUCGAUAAAUCCCUUUUGUGGGGAGAUGUGUAACUUUGGUUGUGUGUAACUCUUUUACCUUCUUCUGAUCAGAGUAAUAAUUGAUUUCCCCCCAUGGGAGAAACAAAACAUGGCCUUGAGUUUAUUAUGAAACAAACAAGUUAUAUUGUUUCCAAACCAGAAGAUUGAACCAACUAUCAGGAUUGAAUACUUCUACUGUACAUACAAUCUAAAAUAUAUGAACAUGCGAAUUGUAAUGGAUUCUUCUACAAAACAUGGAUGCAUGCAGAGUAGCAAGAGUUAAGUGGUGGUCGUAUAGCGGUGAGGACUAAUUUAGUACAUGUCAGUAAAUUUGUCUUUCUUGGGUUCGCUUUUAGAUAAGAACAGAGUUGAUGUUAUUUAGUUAGUUUAGGUCCAUGCAGUUUACAUGGUAUUCAAGUAACAAAUUAUAUAGUUACCAUGUGAUAAUAGUCGAAAAAUAUUUUAAACUCAUAUAGUAUGGUUGUAAGUCUGUUAUAUAGCACUAAUGUUAUCUCCUUUUCGAGCUUUCUUGACUUUAGAUCCGAAUCUUCAAAUGGGGUUUUUGUUAUCUUUUCCAUGUUGCAGCAUUCUUGUUUAGCGUUAUAUACAUUGAAGUUUGUCAGCGUCUCGGCUUGCCUAUUGUGGGAGCUCGAGUUGGGGAAGAGUUUUUGAUCUGGCCUAAGACUGAGAAUCCUGAAGAACUCUUUAGUGAACAUUCAGGACAGAGCUUGUUUGCUAUUAUCAAUGGAAGGUGCGUUGAUGAUCCUGGUUCAAUGGCGUCUGAUUUAACCGGAAAGUCACUUCUAGGCCUUGAUGUUGCUACAAACAGAGACAUUAUAGGGAUUGCUCUCGCCAACUUGAUUGUAAGUUCUAUCAACUACACAUUCUUUAACUUCAAUAUGUUUUUCAGACUGAUACUGAUUCUAUUAUAUUUGCCUUUUGGUUUGUUUUUUAGAGGGUUCACUGGAGACGUGCUUCGAAGCCAUCACCUGGACUAAUGCUGACUUCUCCUCUUAGUCAACUUAACAACACCAGUGUUUCUAAUUUUCCAUUGUUGCGGCCUCAGGAUCUUAGGUACUAUAUAACUUGUUACAGGUUAUCUUUUGAUAUGUUCAUCUAACAUUCGGUUUUAUGGUGAUGGAAGGUUGGCUAUUGCGGCUGCUGAAAGGCUGUUGAUUUUGGAACCUCUUAACUGGCGACUUCGAAGAGACCUUGGUAUGAUGCACUACUACGUCAGGUAAACAAACACCUUCUGUUGCUUGUAUUCAUUAAACUUGGUAUUGGUCGGUUUAGUUUGAUUCUGGAAUGGUUAAUUCUUGAGCAGGCAAUCUAGAGAGGCGAUUCAAGAGCUGAGCAUAUGUAUAGCCUUUGCAUUUGACGAAGAAGAAGCAAAAGUGUUGACGCUUUUUGUUGAGAAACUUCAUCUGCUCUCGUCGUUGAAGUCGCCCUUUGGCUCUGAUCGCUUGGCCGUUCGCUGAGAACCCUCUCUAUCUCUCUCUACUUCACUUGUGAAUACUCUUUUCUAUUUCUUUUUCAUCAUCUCUUUUGUGUUUCGAUAAAUCCCUUUUGUGGGGAGAUGUGUAACUUUGGUUGUGUGUAACUCUUUUACCUUCUUCUGAUCAGAGUAAUAAUUGAUUUCCCCCCAUGGGAGAAACAAAACAUGGCCUUGAGUUUAUUAUGAAACAAACAAGUUAUAUUGUUUCCA